rnacentral:piRNA from 1 species
CCACGGGACUCAGCAGUGAUAAAAAU